rnacentral:lncRNA from 7 species
UUGCUCCUUGUGGAGGGAAGCCUACAAAACCUGUGAGCACCUUUCAUUUAUAUCUGAUUAUCUUUUCCAAUAUGGCAGUCUUACUAGCCUAACUUCUCUGUAUAUUGUAUAACAUCUGUAUACUUAUUAACCGUACAUGCUGGCUGCCUUGCUUAUUUAGGAUAGCAGUGGUAUCAAUUGUAUCUGUACAGGUUUCCCAGGUAAUGUGCCUGAAAUCUGGUCUGCAAAGAUCAUCUCUAAACUUCUAAUGUGAUUCUUCACACUAACUGGCAUUGAAUAUCCUCUAUGAGCUCUGACUUAUAAGCACUAACUUGACAAUGGCUUUGAAAACAGUAAAAUUCCUGUAUUUUUCAGUGUAAAGUAAAAUAGACCAUUUGGGGCAGUCUAAGAUGGAUGAAAUAAUGAUCAUUUAGAGAUUAAUGUUAUCUAUGCUUAGGAAGACCCAAGCUUGAUCCAUUGUUAUCCAGCCUGAAAGUAGGGAUGCUGGAGGACCAAUUCUGAAGAGAACACAGGAUGGUCUGUCUUAUUUGGAGGACAAUUAAGGCUUUCUAACUGCGAUACUGGGUUUAUGAUCAUCACGCUUCACUAGUUGUGAAUUUAGUGUGAGCACAUACCACGAUCUCAAGGAUCUGUUUGAUGUAUUUUUUCAUUCUACGGAUUAUUCACUGUAAAUAUAAAUGUUUUUCUUGUCUACACAAUGUUUGUUAGCAGCAUCGGGAAAUUAGUUUCAGUAUAGUUUGCAGGUGACUGUAAAGUCAAAGAAGUAAUCAGACUUAGGGAAAGCUCCUAGUUCAAACAUACUCAGAGCAGACACACGAUGAAACUAUGGGAGAGGGUCAUAUUGUUUCAUUUAAUAAAUAGAUUAAUUUCCCUGAUAUCUUAUACCUCUUUUAAUAAACAGAGUCAUUAUUAUAGUCUGAAAAAUUAUUCACUCAAGUUAUAUUAAAAAUGCUGUUUUCCAGAAUUUUAUUUUGAUGGCAAUCAAAAUCUAGAUUUCCUAUUCAGGUUUUGAAGAAAUCUCUCUCUGUAAUCUGGGAACAUUGUGAGUAGUGUUUGAUGUAGACAAAAGCCAUGACAGAAAGUCUUAUGUAAGUGUAAGUCUAAAAAAAUUACAGUAGAAAGACAAAAAAAUCCAGUUCUCUUGUCUGAUUUCUAAUGACCUGUGUUGGUGAAGUUCCUAUAACUGGAAAAGAAAGUCAGAUAUGAUUAAAGCCUCUGCACAAUGUUAUCUUAUUCAUAGUGCUACCGUCUCAGUUUUGAGCAAAGAAAGAGUAUCUAUUGCCAACAAUAUGUAUGAUCAAACUUUUUUUUUUUUGCCAUUUUUCUGUUUUGUUUUUGUUGAUUGGUUGUUUCUCUCUUAAAUGUUUAAGUCCUGGUUCUGUAGUGAUCUGUUCACAAGAAGAUGUGAGCGUAGAGCCCUGGAAAGUUAUCCAAGGCCACCUAUGCAGGGAACCUGUGUGGACUCAUUGCUGGAAUGGAGGCUUAUGUUGAUAUAAAACCAUUCAUGGAACUUCUAUUCAUGUUCAUGUCAGCAUAUCCUCAAAUGAUUAUCAGUGUAAUGUUCAAUGCAAUCCUCAAAUAUAAAGCUUGGACAC